rnacentral:rRNA from 1 species
GACGAACGCUGGCGGCGUGCUUAACACAUGCAAGUCGAACGAUGACGACCGAGCUUGCUCGGUCUGAUUAGUGGCGAACGGGUGAGUAACACGUGAGCAACCUGCCCUUCACUCUGGGAUAACCUCGGGAAAUCGGGGCUAAUACCGGAUAUGAGCUCCUGUCGCAUGGCGGGUGUUGGAAAGUUUUUCGGUGAAGGAUGGGCUCGCGGCCUAUCAGUUUGUUGGUGAGGUAGUGGCUCACCAAGGCGAUGACGGGUAGCCGGCCUGAGAGGGCGACCGGCCACACUGGGACUGAGACACGGCCCAGACUCCUACGGGAGGCAGCAGUGGGGAAUAUUGCACAAUGGGCGAAAGCCUGAUGCAGCGACGCCGCGUGAGGGAUGACGGCCUUCGGGUUGUAAACCUCUUUCAGCAGGGAAGAAGCGAAAGUGACGGUACCUGCAGAAGAAGCGCCGGCUAAUUACGUG